GGUCAAGCUAAUAAGAGCGCAGGGAGGAUGCCUUGGCAUUGGGAGCCGACGAAGGACGUGGUAAGCUGCGAAAAGCUGCGGGGAAUUGCAAGCAAGUAUUGAUCCGCAGAUGUCCGAAUGGAGCAAUCCGUUAAGAGUAAUAUCUUAACAUCAUAUACUGAAUCAAUAGGUAUAUGAGGGGAACCGCCUGAACUGAAACAUCUAAGUAGGGCGAGGAAAAGAAAUCAACCGAGAUUCCGAAAGUAGUGGCGAGCGAAAUCGGAAGAGGCUAAACCGAACUCAGAAAUGAGAUCGGGGUUUAGGACUGCAUUUAGUAUUGAAAUGAGCGAGCAGAAUGCUUUGGGAAAAGCAGCCGAAGAACGUGAGAGCCGUGUAAGCGAAGUGAGUUUCAGCGAGCAGUAUCCAAAGUACCGCGGGGCACGUGAAAUCCCGUGGGAAGAUGGGGGGACCACCCUCCAAGCCUAAAUACUACCUAAUGACCGAUAGCGAAUAGUACUGUGAAGGAAAGGUGAAAAG
rnacentral:ncRNA from 1 species